CCCAAGGCACUUUUCAGAGCCACUCACCAAUAAAUAAAUAAAUAAAU
rfam:Neotoma lepida isolate 417 scaffold_847, whole genome shotgun sequence.